GCCGAGGGGUAUAAGAGAGCUUGCUUUCUUAGAGACCGGCGCACGGGUGCGCCACUUAUAUGCAAUCUACCUUACUCAGGGGGAUAGCCCGAAGAACCUUGGAUUAACACCGCAUAACAUAUAGUUCCGGCAUCGGAGUUAUAUCAAAUAUUCAUAGGAGUAAGAUGAGCAUGCGUGACAUUAGCUAGUUGGUAAGGUAACGGCUUACCAAGGCGACGAUGUCUAGGGGAUCUGAGAGGAUGACCCCCCACACUGGUACUGAGACACGGACCAGACUCCUACGGGAGGCAGCAGUAAGGAAUAUUGGUCAAUGGGCGCAAGCCUGAACCAGCCAUGCCGCGUGCAGGACGACGGCCCUACGGGUUGUAAACUGCUUUAGUCGGGGAUAAACCUGCAUAUGUAUAUGCAGCUGAAUGUACCCGAAGAUAAGGAUCGGCUAACUCCGUGCCAGCAGCCGCGGGUAUACGGAGGAUUCAAGCGUUAUCCCGAUUUUAUGGGGGUAAAAGGGUGCGUAGGCGGCUUGUUUAAUCAAAAGGGAAAGAACGGAGCUCAACUUUUCGCAGGGGCUUUUAAAACUGAAGAACUUGGAAUGAAGUUGAGGGAG
rnacentral:rRNA from 1 species